rnacentral:rRNA from 1 species
UACGUAGGGUGCGAGCGUUAAUCGGAAUUACUGGGCGUAAAGCGUGCGCAGGCGGUAAGUUAAGUCUGAUGUGAAAGCCCCGGGCUCAACCUGGGAAUGGCAUUGGAAACUGGCUUGCUAGAGUGUGGCAGAGGGGGGUGGAAUUCCGCGUGUAGCAGUGAAAUGCGUAGAGAUGCGGAGGAACACCGAUGGCGAAGGCAGCCCCCUGGGCUGACACUGACGCUCAGGCACGAAAGCGUGGGGAGCAAACAGG